rnacentral:rRNA from 1 species
AGCGAACGUUAGCGGCAGGCUUAACACAUGCAAGUCGAGCGAGAAUGGAGGCUUCGGCCUCCUAGUAAAGCGGCGGACGGGUGAGUAACACGUGGGUAAUCUGCCCUCUGGAAGGGGACAACCACUCGAAAGGGUGGCUAAUACCGUAUAAGUCGGCCGGGUCUGCGGACCUGGUCGGGAAAGCAGGCUUCGGCUUGCGCCAGAGGAGGAGCCCGCGUCGCAUCAGCUAGUUGGUGGGGUAACGGCCUACCAAGGCGAAGACGCGUAGCUGGUCUGAGAGGAUGAUCAGCCACACUGGGACUGAGACACGGCCCAGACUCCUACGGGAGGCAGCAGUGGGGAAUAUUGGACAAUGGGGGCAACCCUGAUCCAGCCAUGCCGCGUGAGUGAUGAAGGCCCUCGGGUCGUAAAGCUCUGUGGGGAGCCACGAAACCACGCUGGCUAAUAUCCAGCGUGCUGACGGUAGCUCCUUAGCAAGCACCGGCUAACU